AGAGUUUGAUCCUGGCUCAGGAUGAACGCUGGCGGCGUGCUUAAUACAUGCAAGUCGAACGGAGAUAAUAGCAAUAUUAUCUUAGUGGCGAACGGGUGAGUAACGCGUUGGUGACCUGCCCCGAAGAGAGGGAUAGCAGUUCGAAAGGACUGAUAAUACCUCAUGUGGUUGAGGGUUUUAGAAUCCCUUAACUAAACGGAUUUAUUCGCUUCGGGAGGGGCCUGCGUCCCAUCAGCUAGUUGGUAGGGUAAUGGCCUACCAAGGCGAUGACGGGUAGGGGACCUGAGAGGGUGGCCCCCCACAAUGGAACUGAAACACGGUCCAUACACCUACGGGUGGCAGCAGUAGGGAAUAUUGGUAAUGUGCGAAAGCGCGAACCAGCAACGCCGCGUGAGCGAUGAAGGCCUUCGGGUUGUAAAGCUCUUUUAGAGAGGAUGAGGAAGGACAGUACUUCUG
rnacentral:rRNA from 1 species